rnacentral:rRNA from 1 species
GACGGAGGGGGCUAGCGUUGUUCGGAAUUACUGGGCGUAAAGAGCGCGUAGGCGGCUUAGUAAGUUGGGAGUGAAAGCCCGGGGCUUAACCUCGGAAUAGCUUUCAAAACUACUAGUCUUGAGUGUAGUAGGGGAUGAUGGAAUUCCUAGUGUAGAGGUGAAAUUCUUAGAUAUUAGGAGGAACACCGGUGGCGAAGGCGGUCAUCUGGGCUACAACUGACGCUGAGGCGCGAAAGCGUGGGGAGCGAUCCGG